rnacentral:rRNA from 1 species
CUUUCUUUGCUGGCGACCGGCGCACGGGUGAGUAACACGUAUCCAACCUGCCCUUUACUCGGGGAUAGCCUUUCGAAAGAAAGAUUAAUACCCGAUAGCAUAAUGAUUCCGCAUGGUUUCAUUAUUAAAGGAUUCCGGUAAAGGAUGGGGAUGCGUUCCAUUAGGUUGUUGGUGAGGUAACGGCUCACCAAACCUUCGAUGGAUAGGGGUUCUGAGAGGAAGGUCCCCCACAUUGGAACUGAGACACGGUCCAA